ACAUGCGACCAUACCCACUGGAGAACUCGGGAUCCCGUCCGCUCUCCCAUCGAUAAACCAGUGAGGGCCGGAGUAGUAGUCGGGUCGGWGACGACCGGCGAAUGCCCGGUGUUGCAUGUC
rfam:Colletotrichum higginsianum, IMI 349063, WGS project CACQ02000000 data, contig: cont1.2572